UACCUCCCUAUCCCCGAAGGUCCGUAAUCCCGCUUCCCCUGCUCUUCUCCUGGGGCAGUGAUUUUGAACUUGGCUAACAUGGAGGGGACCCAGCCCUAGACUGGGGUGGAGGAUCAAGUGUCUGCUGUUCAUGCUUUUGGUGCUGAAUUGGAGGCUGUGUUUUCUACGUCUCCUCGCCCCCCCCCACCCAAAAAAAGAGGGCCAGGUUUAGGGGAGGGGUCGUGUGCUAGGGGAAGGAGUGGGUUUCCAAGCGGAUGUGACUCGCACAGUUUUAUCCAAGGUAGAGGUGGAAGGGGGAGGGAAGCUGCCUGUGAGGCUGAAUGUCUGCCCCUUGCUGCCCCCAGCUCCUCUCCUCCCCCCCCCCAGCAUUGCUCUCCCGAUACCCGCAGUUUUCCUUCGCUCCGUGGCCUUUAUCAGUGUAUUUAUUUACACUCUGCAUAGGCCAUGUUCCAUGCAAUCUACUCACAAUGCGGAUUUCAGGCCCCACUUUCCGCCGCCCCCUUCUGCCUUAGCUAUCAGUUUCCCCUCCUAAUUAACUGGGGGUGGAUUUGAGUGAUGGUUGAAAAUUUAAAUAAAAUGGGAUAUUCCUUCCCUGCCACACUUUCUCAAUAAGGAGCCUCGCCCCUCCUUCCCACUCUCAGGCUCGCUUCUUGCCCUAUCCACCCGGCAAUUCCUGUUGAGCCUACAGGCAGCUUUGCUUGGGGAGGGGGUGGCUGGCAGCGAAGGGGUGUGCGCCCUCGGGGCCUCCUGCUUCCGUUGGCCUGUCAGUUCAGGACGGAGGAGUUCGUUAGGACCGUUUAGCGAAAAUUCCACGUCGCUUUGCUGUGACACCUUCGUGCACACACAGCUCCUAAUUAGGGGUUGCUGUACAGUAAACAAAAAUGAUUAUUUUUCAACUUGACAGAGUAGCCGAAGUAAUUGCAUCGCGUAGGGAAACAAUGGAAAAUAAAAACCCCUUUCGUGGGAAGGUGGGAGUAGGAGAUGAAGCAUGCUUGCGGUUUCAGAACCAAGAUGCAAAAAAUCUUGCAUGUGUAACAGGCAUGACAAGCGGGUUCUAGGCGGCGCCAUGAUGGUAGGGAGUAGCGACUCGGAGACAGUUUCCCCGUCUGCUUGACAUGUUCUUAUUUUCGUUCGAGAGCUCCCUGGGGCUUUCUUCGAAGAGGCCCCUUCGGCUCGCCGCACCCUUCUGAACCAAGGCCCUUGCAGAUCAGUAAAUGUAAGCCGCGCCACUCCUUUCUCCCGAGGGGGGACGUUUUAAAACUUCAGAAGUCUGUAAUCAGCAGUGGAGGACUCGAGCCCGGUAGACGCCCCAGCCACUGGAGCUGGAUGAGGUUUCAGGCGUUGCAAGUGGUGGACAGCGCCCAGCCGAGGACAGAAAAGUCGAUGGGGCUCAGUUCGGCAACGCUCGGUUAGGCUCCGUGCGGUCUGGGCGCGGGGCUCGGAGAGAGUCGGCGGUGUUCGGAGCCGAGUCUGCGCUCCGGCGGAGAGAGCCGAGCCGCUUCGGAGGGGGUCGAACGCAUUCGGAAAUGCUCGUGGGAGGGGAGCGCGCAGGAGGGGCAGAAGGAGGGGGACAGGCCAGAGUCUGCAAAUUAACUUUGAAUCCGCUAAAGAACUGCUUUUCCUGAACAUGCCCCAUAAAUUAGGCUGAUUUAAUGAGAAGUUUAAAAAUAUAUACUGAAUCCCCCAAAGGGGUACCUCACCUUUUUUUAUUCAAAGAGAGCUGAGCUCUCUGGGGAAAUAGGUGUGCCACUUUAGGAUGAAAAUUCAUAAUUAUGUACUGGACAGGAAAUCUUAAAUGAAGGCUGGAUGUAGACUUCCCAGA